GUCUACUGUCAUGCUACCCUGAACAAGCCUGAUCCCGUCUGGUCUUGGAAGCUAAGCAGGGUCGGGCCUGCUGUUAGUACUUGGAUGGGAGACCACCUAAGAAGACCAGAUGCUGUAGGCA
rnacentral:rRNA from 1 species